UGUGCUUCUGUUAGGUCCAUAUCAUUUCUGUCCUUUAUCGAGCCCAUCUUUGCAUGAAAUGUUCCCUUGGUAUCUCUAAUUUUCUUGAAGAGAUGUCUAUCUUUCCCAUUCUGUUGUUUUCCUCUAUUUCCUUGCAUUUAUCAAUGAGGAAGGCUUUCUUAUCUCUCCUUGCUAUUCUUUGGAACUCUGCAUUCAAAUGGGAAUAUCUUUCCUUUUCUCCUUUGCUUUUCGCUUCUCUUCCUUUCACAGCUAUUUGUAAGGCCUCCUCAGACAGCCAUUUUGCUUUUUUUUUCAUUUCUUUUCCAUGGGGAUGGUCUUGAUCCCUGUCUCCUGUACAAUGUCAUGAACCUCCGUCCUAAUUGAUGACAUUUUAGAUUUGUUGGAAUAAGAUACAUAAUCAAAACACAAGUUUCACAAAACAAUGUUUUUACUCUAUGUUAUAGGCUAUGCUCUCUAGUUUUUUCUAUUUCAUUAAGAAAAAAUUUCAGAUCUUAAUCCACCAAAAUGACUUCACUAUGUUUGGCAGUUUGAAAAACUACUGAGAACUUAAACUUUUUACAGCCACACAAUAGAGUUAAGAACUAAAACUGACUACAUUGACUCUACAACCCCAACAUAUGCUUAAACAUGAUUUUAAUUUCAAGAAAUUUCUGCCCCAAAAGAUGAAGUGGCAAAUAACUAUUGCAGUUUCAAGACCUUCCUCAAAGUCCAUUUAACUGAACAACAAAGAGACCUAGCCUUCUUCAAGGUAAACAGCCCCUCCUCCAUAAUAUUACUCUUGGGUUUAUCAAAUAACUGUUGACUUUUUAAGGUUUGCUUCACAACUCUUCCCUAGGUCUACUAAUCCAAAGAUUUGUUGUUUGUUAAGUCACUCAGUCAUGUCUGACUCUUUGCAACCCCAUGGACUGCAGCAUGCCAGAUUUCCCUGUCCUUCACCAUCUCCAGGAGCUUGCUCAAACUCAUGUCCACUGAGUUGGUGAUGCCAUCCAACCAUCUCACCCUCUGUCGUCCCCUUCUCUUCCUGCCUUCAAUGUUUCCCAGCAUCCGGUCUUUUCUAAUGAGUCAGUUCUUUGAAUCAGGUGACCAAAGUAUUGGAGUUUCAGCUUUAGCAUCAGUCCUUCCAAUGAAUAUUCAGAGUUGAUUUCCUUUAGGAUUAACUGGUUUGAUCUUCUUGUAGUUCAAAUAUUAUAUCACAAAAUUUAGUCUUAUCUCAAACAUG
ensembl:lncRNA